rnacentral:rRNA from 2 species
GUCUAUGGCCAUUCCACCCUGAAUGCACCUGAUCCUGUCUGAUCUCAGAAGCUAAGCAGGGUUGGGCCUGAUUAGUACUUGGAUGGGAGAAAUAUCAUUGAUUUUUGAAUGUUGAUCUUGUAUCCU